CUCAAAUUGUGGAAAACUCUCAACACGUCUGUAACAGUCUUGGUUGAUGUCCUUCGUCUUCACCCCUCUACUCUGACGUUUCAACUUUAAAGCCUUCCCUCACGCCUCACGGUUUCACACCCCACAAGCAAAGCCAGAUCCCAAUUUCAUGCACUGAUAAGGAGACAGAAGCAGAGGUGAAAAUGAGGGCAUAUCGGCUUUCAUAUCUGAGACACUGACACCUCUCGUAGUUAACUGAGGGCCAACUGACAGCCUGCCUUCUCCUCAUGCC